UAAUACGAAGGUGGCAAGCGUUGUUCGGAUUUACUGGGCGUAAAGGGAGCGUAGGCGGUCUGGUAAGCCCUCCGGGAAAUCUCCCGGCCUAACCGGGAAAGGUCGGAGGGGACUGCUUGACUAGAGGGCGGGAGAGGAGCGCGGAAUUCCCGGUGUAGCGGUGAAAUGCGUAGAGAUCGGGAGGAAGGCCGGUGGCGAAGGCGGCGCUCUGGAACGAUCCUGACGCUGAGGCUCGAAAGCGUGGGGAGCAAACAGGAUUAGAUACCCUGGUAGUCCACGCCCUAAACGAUGGACACUAAGUGUCGGCAGGUUACUGCCGGUGCCGCAGCUAACGCAUUAAGUGUCCCGCCUGGGGAGUACGGCCGCAAGGUUG
rnacentral:rRNA from 1 species